AGAGUUUGAUCCUGGCUCAGAUUGAACGCUGGCGGCAGGCCUAACACAUGCAAGUCGAGCGGAAACGAGAAUAGCUUGCUAUUCGGCGUCGAGCGGCGGACGGGUGAGUAAUGCUUGGGAACAUGCCUUGAGGUGGGGGACAACCAUUGGAAACGAUGGCUAAUACCGCAUAAUGUCUACGGACCAAAGGGGGCUUCGGCUCUCGCCUUUAGAUUGGCCCAAGUGGGAUUAGCUAGUUGGUGAGGUAACGGCUCACCAAGGCGACGAUCCCUAGCUGGUUUGAGAGGAUGAUCAGCCACACUGGAACUGAGACACGGUCCAGACUCCUACGGGAGGCAGCAGUGGGGAAUAUUGCACAAUGGGCGCAAGCCUGAUGCAGCCAUGCCGCGUGUGUGAAGAAGGCCUUCGGGUUGUAAAGCACUUUCAGUCAGGAGGAAAGGUUAGUAGUUAAUACCUGCUAGCUGUGACGUUACUGACAGAAGAAGCACCGGCUAACUCCGUGCCAGCAGCCGCGGUAAUACGGAGGGUGCGAGCGUUAAUCGGAAUUACUGGGCGUAAAGCGUACGCAGGCGGUUUGUUAAGCGAGAUGUGAAAGCCCCGGGCUUAACCUGGGAACUGCAUUUCGAACUGGCAGACUAGAGUGUGAUAGAGGGUGGUAGAAUUUCAGGUGUAGCGGUG
rnacentral:rRNA from 2 species